AUUGAACGCUGGCGGCAGGCCUAACACAUGCAAGUCGAGCGGAUGAAGGGAGCUUGCUCCUGGAUUCAGCGGCGGACGGGUGAGUAAUGCCUAGGAAUCUGCCUGGUAGUGGGGGAUAACGUCCGGAAACGGGCGCUAAUACCGCAUACGUCCUGAGGGAGAAAGUGGGGGAUCUUCGGACCUCACGCUAUCAGAUGAGCCUAGGUCGGAUUAGCUAGUUGGUGGGGUAAAGGCCUACCAAGGCGACGAUCCGUAACUGGUCUGAGAGGAUGAUCAGUCACACUGGAACUGAGAGACGGUCCAGACUCCUACGGUAGGCAGCAGUGGGGAAUAGUGGACGAUGGGCGAAAGCCUGAUCCAGCCAUGCCGCGUGUGUUAAGAAGGUCUUCGGAUUGUAAAGCACUUUAAGUUGGGAGGAAGGGCAGUAAGUUAAUACCUGGCUGUUUUGACGUUACCAACAGAAUAAGCACCGGCUAACUUCGUG
rnacentral:rRNA from 1 species